GUCUACAGCCAUACCACCCUGAAGGCACCCGAUCUCGUCUGAUCUCAGAAGCUAAGCAGGGUCACGCCUGGUUAGUACUUGGACGGGAGGAACUGAUUCAUGCAGUCA
rnacentral:rRNA from 1 species